rnacentral:rRNA from 1 species
ACCGCUUUUGGAUUCGAUGAAGCCAUGCGAGUCGCAGAUCACUUUGGCGGCUCGGCAUACUGCUCAGCUAACACGUGGAUAACCUAGCCCUAUUAGUCUGGAAUACACCUGCAGCGCAAACAUGAGAAACAAGGCCAGGAUAAUCUCCACAACUGCCUAGGAACUGGUUUGUGGGUGAAGAUAGGAUGGGUCUGCGGCGUAUCAGCGUCGUAGGGGGUGUAAUGGACCUUCUAGCCAUCGGCGCCUACGGGUGUGGGGGUCCAUAGCCGGUGACAUGGAUUCUAGAGACUCCCAAUCCAAGACACCUACACGGGUGCAGCCAGGGCGCGAAAACUUGCACACUGCUGGAAAACUUGUGAUGAGGGAACUCCAUUGGCAUGCCCAUAUGUGCAUGCUUUUCUUAACUAUAAAUCUGAUUCUGGAAUAAAAGGCUGGGAAA